ACUACUUAGGCAGAUAGUGAAGGUAUGACAGUCCUCAGUAAGGUUAUCCUUUUUAAUAAAGAGUAGCCCCCAAUCAUUUUCUAAUAAAGAGUAGCCUGUAAAACCGAGCUGCAGACAUAGACAAGCAAGCUCGAAGCUUGCACAGGCAAAUGCCAGCAGGAAAAAGCUACCUAGGGCUAGACAUGUUCAAAAUGGUGACUCCAUCUUCCCUUCCCUUUGCCAGUCACUUGUAGGAACAGACCAGAUGGUGCCAGCCAAAUAGCCCAUUUGCAUAAUAAGAUUAGGAUGGGAUGACCAGCCUUUCCCUUGUGCUAUGUAAACAUCACACCUGGUCGAACCAAUCUGUGAGCCCUACAUAAAUCAGAUGCCACCUCCCCAAACCUGCCUAGAAAAUCUGCUGUGGUCCACAGCUCUUCUCUUUUCAGAUGCCUCUCUCUCAAAAGAGAGAUACCUGCUCUCCUCUCUCCUUUCUUCUCCCUGUUAAACUUUCUGCUCCCUAACCCACUGUGUGUGUGUGUGUCCCUGCCGUUAAUCUUCUCAGCACAAGAUGACAAACCCUAGGUACUUACUCCAGACAAUGAUGCCACUUCAUUACCAUAGCCACCAUAGCUGUGAAUGUGGUGGGUCUCACCUGAUGCCCACAUGUCUCAGAAUCUCACCAAGACCCUUGGCAUGCUACCUGUGUAUCACUGCUGGUUAUUCAGGGCCAAAUGGCUCUUUAGUCAGCAGGUGAUGGAUACUGCCAAGACUGGGUCCUUUCUUUCAAGGGGGUGGUUUCCAUUCUGGCUCAGGGUGUGUCUAGGAAUGUUGUUCAGGAGCUAGGGCCUGGAAUGGGGGCCUCACAAGCUACUGUACAAGAUGACCGGUGCCCUAUCAUACUUUGACUGAGCUACUAUACAAGAUGAAAGACAAAAUUCGUCUGUACUCUUCCCUCUCCUCUCCUCAAGCAGAAUGAAGGGGUUUCUUUUGGAGACCCAUGCUGCGUUUCCUGGGGUUGGGGGAGGGGAGGUGCAAGCACUGCCUUAGCUGCCCUGGCCAGUGCCUUAGUAAGUCGAGUGCCCCCAAAGUGCACUGGUUCAGAGCCCAGCUCAGAACUAGGGCUUGUAGUCUUUGUGGCCUAGAUUGCCUUUCAAUUUGGGGCCUGAGAGCACUUCAGCCCAUGGUGGUGAGGCUUGUGGGAAGUUGGAACUCAAGUUUAACUUCUGGGUUGGGCAAUUCCACUAUGGCUUGGGCUGGUCUGAAUGCUCCCUUGAUGGGGGGGCAUCAGCGAAGUUCAGCCCGGUUUUGCUUUCUGCUCUGACAGGGCAGCACUGAGUUCAAUGAAAAGUCUCACAAUUGCUGAGCUAACCCUCUGCCAAAGGGCACAGAUUUCUCUGCACCAUGGGGCCACUGUGGAAAAGAGUGUGUGAGGGAAGAGGCGGGACAUGUGGCUUCAGCAUUUCAAGAUGGCCUCCUACUCUAUUCAUUCCCUCUUUUAGCAAUAUGAAAUUAAAGCCAGGUACUGUGAGUACUUACCUGAUUUUUAAUUCUUAUGAAGGUGCCUUUCUGAUGUAGAUAGUUGUCAAAUUUAGUGUUCCUGUAGGGGCGACUAUCAGCGAGGACUUCUCUUCCACCAUUUUACUCUGCCCCUUUCCCUUUUAUAUGCAUUAGUAUACUAAGAAUUUUGUGUGACUUACUUUAUUGAGAUAUUUCUAUUAUAGGGGUGGUCUGGAACCAAACCCACAAUAUCUCCAAGAUAUGCCUGUAUAUCCAAUUUAGUCAAGCUUACUAUCAUUAUACUGCCCUGAUUCUUUUUCUGAUGUGUUUUUCCCUCUUAAAGUCUUUUGCAGAUUAUUUUGCCACCCCUGUGCUGGGUCCAGUACUUAAAUGUGGACCAGGUACUGUGUAGCAUUGCUGUGACAAGGUUCGGGUAUGCAAAAAGAUUUCUAAAGUUUAGGUCAUAAAUAGGAAUAAUCUUUUAAAAAAAAGUCAGCAACAUAAUUUUAUGUUUUAUAUGAAAUAUAAAAUCUUGCCCUUUGAGCCCUUUGGCUAAGAAAUAAGAAAUCACACCUGAUACAGUGGAGACCUUAUUUUCUGACCCCCCAUAAUCCAUUCACUUUUCUUUUGGUGAUCACGUAUCCCAGUCUCUUUGAUGAACCACCCUUCUUCUCUGAGGACAGGUGGCUUGAGUGAGACUGACACCAGCCAAGAAUUUGGAGGUGGAGCACAUGAUCCUGGCCUAUAUCAAUCGAUUUCUAAAGUCAAUGCCUUCAUUUAGAAGUGGACGUAAGUUUCAGAUCCUUUUCAUGUCAUUUGGUAAGAGAGUUUUGAGCAGGUACUAAAACCAAUGCACCCAAAACAGAUGCAGACAAGAGCAGAGCUUUCAGUAGAAAUUUUAAUCAAACGGGAUCAAGACCCUAAAGCGUUUCUUCAAAGAUCUGUAACAGAAGAUGGAAUGUGGCUUUACCAGUAUGAUCCUGAAGACAAAGCACAAUCAAAGCAAUGGCUACCUAGAGGUGGAAGUGGUCCAGUCACAGCAAAAGCAGACUGAUCAAGAGCAAAGGUCAUGGCAACAAUUUCUGGGGAUGCUCAAGGCAUUUUGCUUGUUGACUUUCUAAAGGGUCAAAGAACAAUGAAUAUCUGCUUAUUCUGCGAGAGUUUUGAGAAAGCCAAAGAGCAGAAAAAUGCCCAGGAAAGCUUCACCGGAGAAUCCUCUCAUCAAACAAGGGCAAUUUUGUGAGCAUUUCAAUGGGAAAUCAUGAGGCGUUCACCCUACAGUUGUGAUUUGGCUUCUUCUGACUUCUUUUUGUUUCUUAAUCUUAAAAAAAAUCUUUACAGGGCACCCAUUUUUCUUCAGUUAAUCAUGUCAAAAGACUGCAUUGAUAGGGUUAAAUUUCAGAAUGCUCACUUCUUUAGGAAUGGACUAAGUGGCUGAUUUUUUUUCCUUUCAAGAGUGUCUGGAACUUUAUGGAGCUUAUGUUGAGAAACAAAGUUUAUGUUUUUAUUUUUAUCUUUUAAUUCCAUUUUCCACAAACUCUUUAAAGUCUUUCCACAUAAGCACAAAUAAAUAUGUGACAGAAUAACAUCUCAAAAUAAUAAUCCUUUGGAUUAUUUAUAUUUGUCUCUCUUAAUCCCUAAGGCAUUCUCAGCCCAUAGGGAAACAGAAGCAGAAAUUCAAAGAAACUGCUGACCUAUAUCCAGGUCAGAAAGGUUUAGAUUCAUGCUUGAAGAGACCAUUUUCUGCUCAUAAAGUCUAGUUAAACUGGGUCUAGACAGAAAGGAUCAAGAAGAUGAGAGUCCUCAAAUUUAAAGGAGGAAGGCUGUCAAUGGGACCAACGAGUGGAGUGGAAGGGCCUUGGACUGCACUUUUUUUUUUUUUUUAGAUGGAGUCUCGCUCUGUUGCCCAGGCUGGAGUACAGUGGUGCGAUAUCGGCUCACAGCAACCUCCGCCUCCCAGGUUCAAGCGAUUCUCCUGCCUCAGUUUCCUGAGUAGCUGGGAUUACAGGUGCGUGCCACCACGCUGGACUAAUUUUGUAUUUUUAGUAGAGACACGGUUUCACCAUGUUGGUCAGGCUAGUCUCAAACUCUUGACCUAGUGAUCCGCCUGCCUCAGCCUCCCAAAGUGCUGGGAUUACAGGCAUGGGCCACCGUGCCCAGCCUGGACUGCACAUCUAUGCUGAUGGCAGAUCCCUGCCAUCCAUCUCCUGGGGACAUUUGUAAGUGGCUAUUACAGGGUCAGAGAAUUGGACACCAUGUGUGAGAAUGACCAAGAAAGAAAUGUCCAGAAUAAGUUAGGAAUUUUUUAAACACUUGAGACAAUGGAAAAACGCAUGGGAAAAGACUUAGAAAAAAUAUAUAUACCAAAGGGCUAGUCUUAAUCUCUGAGGCAGCUAGUGGAUUUGUAGGAGAAGGGAGUCAAAGAGAAUUGUUGCAUUAUCUCUGGUUUAAAGGUUUUACAACAAGAAAUUGUUUGUUUAGUGUUUGUGUAAUUCAAAUAUUUUUAAAUCAUUGAUUUUUCAAAAGAGGAAGACAAAUUGGAAUAAGAUGUUUUUAAUUUUUUGACAGCUAAUGAUUUUUUUAAAAGUGAUUUUUGCUAGAAGUUAGGGAGCAAAUCAGGAUUUUUGCUAGGAUUCUAAAUGGCUCUUCUGGUCAUUUACAGGAGCUUUACACAUUGUGUUCAUAACAUUUAAUUUCAUGUCAAAACAAAUCAGGCCAGGCAUGGUGGCUCACGCCUGUAACACCAACACUUUGGGAGGCCAAGGCAAGAGGAUGGCUUGAGCUCACAAGUUCCAAACAGGAGCCUGGACAACAUAGGGAAACCCCAUCUCUCCAAAAAGAAAAAAAAAAAAAAAAAAAAAGCAAAAGCUGAGCAUGAUGUGAUGGUGCACACCAAUAGUCCAAGAUACUUGAAAGGCUGGGACUUUCAAGUCCUUUUUGAGGUGGGGGGAUUGCUUGAGCCAGGCAGUUCAAGGCUACAGUGAGCCAUAAUCGCGCUACUGAACUCCAGCCUGAGCAGAAGAACAAGACCCUCAAAACACAAAUUUUUUUUAAAAAAAAGCAAAUCAAUUUCCUUUUCACUGAAAUAGUCAAUUUCUUAUCACUUGCAAUAAUAAGACAUUUAUCAGAUACGAUUUGGAUUGAUUUGAGGGAGAUGGAAAAAUAACCAAAAUUGGAAGAGAAGAGGGGAAGUAUGAAGGUAGCUACAAAGGAUGUGCGCAUGUGUAUAAUAAUAGCUGCCAUUUGUUAUGAAUUGAGCAUUUUUUGUAUGCUAGCCACUAGAUUUUUUAUCACAGUACAUACAUGAAUUACAUGACUGAUUCUCUAAAACAACUUUAGGAGGUAGAAGUUAUUACUACCGUUUUACCAAUUAGGCACUUGAAGGACAAAAUGUUAAGCAGCUUGUCCAAGGCCACACAGCUGGUGAGGGGUGGAGAGGAGAAGUGAGCUCUAGAGUUAUACUUUUAGCCACCACACUAUGAUUCUUUCAGUGUAUGUGAUGAGAAUUGGCAUAGAAGGAAUUAACCGAGGCCAGAUAGAAAAAGACAAGAGAGAGGCAAGUGGAAUGUAGAAAGUUAAGUAGGCAAUCAAUUUUGUAUCAGAUGGUUCCUUACACUACCACCAGGUGGCAGUGGCGGCUCAGGACAGAUUAAUUAUUGUCUGGAGCAAGAGGGUUCAACAAUAGGCCUCAGGGUAGAUAUGGAAUACUGAAACCGUACCACCUCUGUUCAAAUGUAUGAGAUGUUUGCAAGUCAAAUGUAACUCUUCAAGGAACCUUCCUGAUUCUGGCUUAAGACAAGAGUUAAGAAUUAAUAUUCUUAUUAAUUCUAUAUGACCUCAAAAUUUGUCAUUGUGAUUAAUACUAUUAUCUCGAUAAGGAUGCAGUCCUCUGCCAAGUAUACAUAUAUCAGUUUCUUAAAACAUUUUCCUUUUUCUCCAGGGUCAUUACAAAAAAGAUGGCAAUGCAACUCAAGAUUAAAGUAAAAUGGUAAUUUGUACAAAUAAUUGUGUCACUGGUCUAUAAUUAGAUGAUAUUUAGCAAGGAAAUCUAGGAUUACUGAGUCCUGUUUUUGCCCAGCAACCCCGAUCCCGUGAAGUUCCUGAGAAAAAAAAGUCACAAGAGGCGAAUGCAAAUGAUAAACAAGUCCCCCCUCCCUUCUUUGAAGGUUAACUAGCUGCUAAUCACCCCCAAUUUCGAGCUUGCUGGAAAACUGAACAUUUGCCAAUUAUUUGGUCUCAAGGGCUAAGUGGAGCUCUGCCUUCAUUUAAGCCCCUAUUUUUUCCACGAAUUGGUUGCCAAGAUGAGCUGCAUGAGCUUGUGUAAAAGUCUAAAUUCCUCUGACCUUCUAUGAGCAGAUGAGAGCUCAGGAUUGCUGGCCUGCUUUCAGGGGCUGUGCUCUGGGUCACUUUUCCCUAUGGAGAUAGGUAAACAGCAGAAAAUGUAGGAGCAAGGUCUAAGAAAGAGAGCCACACCAAUGUACAGGAACAUUCAGCAUAGAAUGACCUUGAGACUAAUAAAUUGUGGUCUAAUCAGUUCUGGAAGCUGCUUCCAUCAAAAUAACAACUCCAGGGCCAGGCGCGGUGGCUCACUCCUAUAAUCCCAGCACUUUGGGAGGCCGAGGCAGGCAGAUCACCUGAGGUCGGGAGUUCAAGACCAGCCUGGCCAACAUGGUGAAACCCUGUCUCUACUGAAAAUAAAAAAAUUAGCCGGGCGUGGUGGCACAUGCCUGUAAUCCCAGCUACUUGGGAGGCUGAUGCAGGAGACUCGCUUGAACCCGGGAGGCGGAGGUUGCAGUGAGCCGAGAUCAUGCCACUGCACACCAGCCUGGGCGACAAGAGAGAAACUCCGUCUCAAAAAAAAAAAAAAAAACAACAAACACCUCAACAAUUUGGUAGGCAGGCAGUAGGAAGUGGAGAGAGGGGAGUGAGAAUUAUGCCCCUCCCCCAUCACACAUAAAAUACAGAUAACAAUAUGCAUUUUUUAUCUUCUUCUGGGUUUGAGCCAUUAGCCAUAAGCAACUAUUGAGCACUUAAAAAUAUGACUGAGGAAUUGUGGAGACUGAGAAACUGAAUUUUUUAUUUGAUUUGAUUUUAAGUAACUUAAAUUUAAAAACUUAAGCAGUGUAAAAUAUUUUUUCUGUUCAAUAUAGCUUUAUUGUUUUGGUAGAACUAUAUUUCACUUUAACUAUAGUGCAUUUUGUCAGCAUCAAUGGAUUUGAUGCAGUUGAGAUGAUUUUUGUAAUGUGUUUAUAUGAAUUUUUUAUGCAGGCAGCAGGAGUCACAGUGAUACUUAUACAAAUUAUAAUUGUUAAUUAAGCUGAAAUAUUUUAAGGAUAUUGUAAUUAAAUUAUUUUUUAGUUAAAAUUAGUAUAAGCAAAAUUUCAAAAUGCAAAAUAAAGGAAUGCAUCAGAUGCAGAAUCAGUUGAAAAUGAAGAUGCUAGUAUUUUGAUAGUCACAGUAAAAAAAAAAAAGAAAAACAUAGGUCAAAUAGUAAUGAUGAGGGGCAAUUAUGCUUUGUUGUCAUAUUAAAACAAAAAGCUGCUUGCUCAUGUAAAAAAGUUAAGAUAAUAAAGUGGACAGUGUUUAGGAAAUAUGUAGUAAGUUUGAUAAUUUUUUUCUCAACAGUCAUAAAAAUUGACAAAUUUAGUCACAUAAAAUUAUAAUUUGACCUUUAAAGAAAAAUGUUUAAAUAAUUUUUUAACAGAAUCAGAGUUUGACAAGUCAUAAAAUGGUUUGAAUUCCUGAACAAAAAGAGAAAGUCAUUUUUAGAUACAAGGUAAAAUAAAUUGUGUUGUUUCAUGGGCCAGGCGCAGUUGCUCACACCUGUAAUCUCUGCACUUUGGAAGGAAUAGGUGGGAGGAUUGCUUGAGGACAGGACUUCCAGGCUGCAGUGAGCUAUGAUCCAUGCCACUGCACGCCAGCCUGGGUGGGUGACGGAGCCAGAGCCUGUCUAAAAACAAACAAACAAACAAACAAACACAUUGUUUCAAUUAUGAUAAUUUUCUUAGAUAAUUAUAAGAAAAAAUCUAAAAAAGAUAUUUCAUAAAAAGUGAAAGAUCUUCAAUUAAAAUAGCAAUUACGAGUAGAAUGUAAAUUCUUUCUAGAAAUAUCAAAAAUAAUUUAAAAAUUUUAAAAAUUGAAAAUCUUUAUUUUUUAGCUUUAGAUGAGUCAUGGAAUAUAAGAGAGACUGCACAAUCAGUACCAUAGGUACAGUUGUUUCAACCUUCAAAUUUAUAAAGGAAUGCUGUCAACCCAUGACCUAGAAAAUUAUGGUAUAGACACAUACUUUGGACUUCCACCAUGAGGAAAAAUUUUAAAUAGAUCUGAAAAAAUCAGUUUUUGUCUCAAUAGACUCCAGCCACAUUAAAUAAAAAUCGGAAUAUACAGGCAUUUUAAAACAAGAGAGGGAUGUUUUCCUUAUUUUUUCAUUCCACUGUAUAAUGCACAUUGGAAAUAUUUGUGCUCUACUUUCUAAGAGAUUGAAAAUUGUCAUAAAUGCAAUGGUUAAAAUCAUUCAAAUUUAAAUUCAAAGGCCAUGAAUUAUUGCUAAUUAUAAAAGACAAUGGGACCAAGCAUAGUGGCUCAUGCCUAUAAUCCCAGCACUUUGGGAGGCCCAGGUGGGAGGAUCAUUUGAGGUCAGGAGUUCAAGACCAGCCUAGGCAGCAUGACAAUACUCUGUCUCUACACACACAAAAUUUAAAGUUAGACAAGCAUGGUAGCAUGCAUCUGUAGUCCUAGCUUCUUGGGAAGCUGAGGUGGGAAGAUUGCUUGAGCCCAGGAGUUCAAGGUUGCCGUGAGCUGUGAUCGUGCCACCGCGCUCCAGCCUGGGCAACAGAGUGAGAUCCUGUCUCUAAAAAAACCAAUACAGAUUCAAUAAUCUUGUGUUCUUUGCUAAUGUCCAUUAAAUGAGUCAUGGAAGAACUUUACAAAGAUUUACUCUAUACUUCAAAUCAAGAUUUUUUUGAAACCAAAAGAAACAAAGAUGAAAAUAGCAGGGCAAAUUGUGUUUUCUCACUUAAUAUUACACUUCAUAAAAAUAAACUUGAAGCUCAAGAAAAGGAAAAUUUUUUGUGACCUAAGCAGGUAUGAGAAUUUAUGUUAAAAUGGAAGUGUUGCAAAAUACAAAUCAAUAGUAAUUAUUUUAUACAUUUUUCUGAUAUGAAACAAUAUACAGAAGAUUUUAAUUGUAGUCAUCAUAUUGGGUUUGGCUGCAAAAAGUACAAAAAAUGUAAGAAACACUUUGUUGAUACAGCCAAAACUUUAGAGUUUCUUUUCAAUUUAUGAAAGGCUACUUUGAAUUUGAUAAUACUGAGCUGAAACAAGAGUUAUGAAUUUACUUAGCUUGGAUAUACAUAGUUAGAAACUGAUGAAGUUUUGCUUCAAAGGAAAAUCAAUUAUUCUAAAGAAUGAUAAACCUAUUUUGCAAAUUAGAUGUGACUAUUAAAGAAUGAUUUUUCUUUUUUUUUUUUUGCUCAUUUCAGUUAGUGGAAAACAUUUAAGUAUAUUUGGAAAAGCAUAGGUAGUUGAAUCUACUUUUUCAACUGUAAAUAUUAUGAAAUGUAAUCCCUGAUCACAUAUUUCCAGUGAAAAUUUAACUCCCAUACAAUAUGUAUUGUAGCCUAUAAGUGUUGUAGACACAUGAGAUUUCAAAAAUUUAGUCCAAAAUAAUGUAAAAUACCCCAUUAAUAUUUUUUAAUGUUGAUAAUUUGUUCAAAUGAUGUUUUUGAUGCAUUGAAUUGAAUAAAGUAUAGCACUAAAAUUAAUUUCACCUGCUUCUUCUAUUUUUGUAGUUACUAUAAAAUUCAAAAUUACCUACAUGGCUCACAUUGUCCUUCUAUUGAACAGCAUUAAUGUAGACCAUGUUCACAAUUAUUUUGAGAGUUUUACUGAACUCUGAAGGAUUUCAGAAUCAAAUUUUGCCCUAAAGCUCUUACAAUGUUUGGCUCCAGAGUACAACCUCAAAAUGAAAGAAAAUGUGAUAUAUAUUUCCCUCCUCGCAGGAUGCUUUUCUUGUUUCUUACAGUCCUUAAGUAUUGUUUACCUAACAAAUAUGUGGUAUAUGGUAUCUGUAUUAGUCCUAUAAGACACAUCUUUCUUAAAUUUGUAACUGUCCCUUCAUCUCACAGUUUUCUAAUGACCUUCUACAGAAAGCCUUAAACCCAGCAUCCGCCUUCCCCAGAAAUCUUAUCUUUUUUCCAUCCAAGUUCCAAAAAGCUACUACUGCCCUCAUUUUCUUUUACCUUCUCCAUUGCACACACAUCUGCUAAUGCUAAUUGGCUUUCUUUAAGAUCUCCUAGAGGGAAUCAGACAUUCUAGCCCACAGAGAGGUUAUCAUUUCGUUCAUCUGGCUCUGCAAACAUUAAGAAGUUACUAUCUACUUACUGAAAGACAUGUUGCCUCAUCUUUGUAUAAACUUACAAAAAGGAAAGAAAACCCAGUGGGUUCAUGCUUUCCUUGCUUCCAAUUUGUGCCUCAGAAAAAAAUCAAAAUUAUUGUAGAACAUGAGUCCAAAAGCUAAACAAAAUAGACAUAUUUAUCAGACAAGGACUGAUUUAGAAAGUGUUUUUGAAGAUUAGCAUGCAGAGGGAGACAAAGUUUAAUGUUAAAAAGCAUGCUCUGCAAGACUGAAAUGUUAUUUAACAAAUUAAGUUUGAAAUUGUUUUAAUUAGUAUACAUGUGGAAACAAUAGAAAUCCACCAACUAGAAAAUAUAUCCAUCCAAUCCUGAAUGUGCCCAGGCAUUUUAUGAAUCAUUUUAUGUUAGAAUUCCAAGAAAGAGAAUAUUAUAACUCUUUAGUAACAGCAAAUUUAUCCUAUAAUUACUUUCUCUCUUUCUAUUCCCUUGUUUAUGUGCCCCUUAUAAUGUGAGCAUCACUGGAUAUGAUUGCAGAGUUUGAAGACACAUCUUUUUCAUACAGCAUUUCCCCUAUUUCUGGGGUAAAAAUUGGUUAUUGGACUAACUGAGAGAUACUAUCUUUGGAGCUCUUCAUAGAGUAAAAAAUAAAUUAUUUUAUGGGCAACUUAAAGAAUUUUCAAGAAUAACUUUUAUAAAUGCAGCGUUUGCCUUAAGUACUAAUUUCAGAAUCUAACUUUGACUGAAAUGAGACUCUGCUAGAUUAGUCAAAAUCUGCCUCUUGGCUAUUUCUCUUCAUUAGCUGUGAGUCUUUUAGCUUAGAGUCAUUAAAUCUCUUUUUCUCUUACACGGAAGUGAGAGGGAAACCUGAAAGGCUAGGCCUGGGAGGGGUGGAGGCCUUUAGCAUCACGUAGCUUUGUACAGAUUCAAAAAGCACUGGAUGACUAUUGAGGGUUUUUGAAUAAGCAGUUUAGGUGAGAUGAUAUAUUUUUAAGACACCAAACUGAUUUUCUCCAUUUUUUGUUACCUCGUAACUCUUAAUCCAGAGACUCAAAUGCCUGCAAUUACUUGUGAGAAGAUAGAGAAUGAAGUCAAUUUUCAGUUUGAAAAAUUUGAUUCAAUUUUUUUUUUAUCCAGAGCAAGAUAAUAUCUACCAAGUCAUGGUUUUACUUUUUUUUUUUUUUUUUUAAGAAAAAUAGAUUUUUCGAAUCCUAAAGCUUCCUUUUCACAUCAAGGAUCGAACUUAGAAUUUAAGGCUUAGAGCUUUGCUAUGGUACUCUGUGAGGAAAGAUAAAACAGAUGGUGUUUCCUUGGGAUAGAAAAUAGAAAUAGAAAACUCUUUAACUUCUGAGAUUAGAAAAUGAGGGGCUGUAAAAACCAGGUGAUUUAGGUGAGGAUGAGCAAGCUGCCCAAGUCCUUUGGGUGAAGUUUAGAGAGAAGAGGCAUAUGAUAGACUCUGAACUGGAUUCUGUAUUGCGCGAGGGGAAAUCAGAGAACAGCCAAGCUUCUGCUCUGCUUCCUACAUCGCGCAACAUGGCGCAUGGUGCUGGAUCGGUAACAGGCAGAGAAAGGGUCUAGAUGUGUAGCCUUGGGACAGCAAGCCCCUAGUCUACAGUCUGCACCUGAUAUGGAAAAGGCCCAGAUAUUCCAGCAUGACCAUGUGAGGGAAGAAGUAGGUGAGUCGAGAAUGAAAAGACAGAAUAACUAAAUGAAAUUAGGCAUAACUGCCAAGGAGUUAUCAAGUGCUCGAGGUGUGGAGACCACUGCAAGGUCAACAGCCCCAAGAAAAUGGCAAUAAGUCUCAGAGAAUCAAGGCUGCCAGAAAGAAUCAAAGUUCAGAGCCUCACUAGCAUGAGGAGUUUGCUGACUUUCAUGGAAGCAGUCACUCAGCUCUGUCUACCCAGAGAGCACAGACCUUAGCUUUAGAAUCCACAGAUACUACAGCAAACACAUGCAGCAAGGAGAGAGAACAAUGCCACGACCUCCCAGUUAUUCAUCAGUCAGAGUCAGCAGGGCUGGCAGAGGACAAAUUGUGGAUCAUAGCUGUCUUUUCCUUCUUCUCGCGAGAUUGCAUGUACCUAGAUACCAUCCUAAAAGCAUUGAAGAGGUAAGAAAUCCAAAAUGAUUGUUUACCCUUAAGAGUGUUUUGUCCGGGCGCGGUGGCUCACGCCUGUAAUCCCAACACUUUGGGAGGCCGAGGUGGGCAAAUCACGAGGUCAGGAGUUCAAGACCAGCCUGGCCAACAUGGUGAAACCCCAUC